rnacentral:rRNA from 1 species
UACGUAGGGCGCAAGCGUUGUCCGGAAUCAUUGGGCGUAAAGAGCUCGUAGGUGGUCUGUUACGUCUGCUGUGAAAUCCUAGGGCUUAACCCUGGGCCUGCAGUGGAUACGGGCAGACUAGAGGUAGGUAGGGGAGAAUGGAAUUCCCGGUGUAGCGGUGAAAUGCGCAGAUAUCAGGAGGAACACCGGUGGCGAAGGCGGGUCUCUGGGCCGAUACUGACGCUGAGGAGCGAAAGCGUGGGGAGCGAACAGG